rnacentral:rRNA from 1 species
AGUGAACGCUGGCGGUAGGCCUAACACAUGCAAGUCGAACGGCAGCACAGUAAGAGCUUGCCCCUACGGGUGGCGAGUGGCGGACGGGUGAGGAAUACAUCGGAAUCCACUUUUUCGUGGGGGAUAACGUAGGGAAACUUACGCUACUACCGCAUACGAUCUACGGGUUAAAGCAGUGGAUCUUCGGACCUUGCGCGACUCAAUGAGCCGAUGUCGGAUUAGCUAGUUGGCGGGGUAAAGGCUCACCAAGGCGACGAUCCGUAGCUGGCCUGAGAGGAUGAUCAGCCACACUGGAACUGAGACACGGUCCAGACUCCUACGGGAGGCAGCAGUAGGGAAUCUUCCGCAAUGGGCGAAAGCCUGAUCGAGCCAUACCGCGUGAGUGAAGAAGGCCUUCGGGUUGUAAAACUCUUUUGUUAGGGAAGAAAAACAGCAGAUUUAUCUACCGAUGUUCUGACGGUACCCAAAGAGAAAGCACCGGCUAACUUCGUG